UAACGCGUGGGCAACCUGCCUCAUACAGGGGGAUAGCAUCGGGAAACUGGUGGUAAAACCGCAUAAGCGCACGAAGACGCAUGUAUUCGUGUGAAAAGGAGAAAUCUGGUAUGAGAUGGACCCGCGUCUGAUUAGCUAGUUGGAGUGGUAAAAGCACACCAAGGCGACGAUCAGUAGCUGGCCUGAGAGGGUGGACGGCCACAUUGGGACUGAGACACGGCCCAGACUCCUACGGGAGGCAGCAG
rnacentral:rRNA from 1 species